GAGUUUGAUCCUGGCUCAGGACGAACGCUGGCGGCGUGCUUAACACAUGCAAGUCGAACGGUGAACCGGGCUUCUCCCCGGGGAUCAGUGCGAAACGGGUGCGUAACACGUGUGCAACCUGCCCCACACACUGGAAUAACCCCGGGGAACCGGCGCUAAUACCGGAUACUCUCCGCCGACCGCUGGUCGGAUGAUUAAAGCUCCGGCGGUCUGAGAUGGGCCCGCGGCCUAUCAGCUUGUUGGUGGGGUAACGGCCUACCAAGGCGUGGACUUUUGGCUGGUCUGACCCUUGGCCAAUCACACUGCUCUGGAGACACGGCCCAGACUCCUACGGGAGGCUGCAGUGGGGAAUCUUGAUGACUGGGCGACAUCCUGAUGUUCCUACGCCUCGUGACCGAUGAAUGCCUUCGAGUUGCAGACUCCUUUCGGUGGGGACUAAGCAAAGGUGAUGGUACCUGUGCAACAAUUCCCGGCUAACUACGUGCCAGCAGCCGCGGAAAGACAUGCGGCACGAGCGUUGUCCGGAUUCAUGGCCGGCUUUCGCGCGUAUUGCGGCCACAUGUGUCGCCAGUGAAAUCCCGGAGCUCAACUCCGGAACUGCACUCAUGACUGCGCGGCUUGUGCGUAGGUAGGGGAGAUCCUAAUUCCUGUAGUCUUGCUGGAAUGCUCACAUAUCGGGAUGAUUAAUGCUGGAGCUUCGGAUCUCUGGGCCUGAUAUGACGCUGAAACUAGAACGCUACGUUAACGAAUAGGACUACAUACCCUGCUAGUCCUGUUCGCUCACCUAGGUUGCUCGUCUCGGCGGCAUGUCAGGCCCAUCCGAUGCCGCAUUCUAACGCAUUAAGCACCCCGCCUGGGGAGUACGGCCGCAAGGCUAAAACUCAAAGGAAUUGACGGGGGCCCGCACAAGCGGCGGAGCAUGUGGCUUAAUUCGACGCGACGCGAAGAACCUUACCUGGGCUUGACAUGCGGGGCAAAGCCGGUGAAAGCCGGCGCUCUACGGAGCCCGCACAGGUGGUGCAUGGCUGUCGUCAGCUCGUGCCGUGAGGUGUUGCCUUAAGUGGCGCAACGAGCGCAACCCCUGUCCUCAGUUGCCAGCGGGUAAAGCCGGGAACUCUGGGGAGACUGCCGGUGCCAAACCGGAGGAAGGUGGGGAUGACGUCAAGUCAUCAUGCCCCUUAUGUCCAGGGCUGCACACAUGCUACAAUGCGUGGUACAGAGGGCUGCGAUCCCGCAAGGGGGAGCGAAUCCCAAAAAGCCACGCUCAGUUCGGAUCGGGGUCUGCAACUCGACCCCGUGAAGCCGGAGUCGCUAGUAAUCGCAGAUCAGCAAUGCUGCGGUGAAUACGUUCCCGGGCCUUGUACACACCGCCCGUCACACCACGAAAGUCGGUAACACCCGAAGCCGGUGGCCCAACCCUUGUGGAGGGAGCCGUCGAAGGUGGGAUUGGCGAUUGGGGUGAAGUCGUAACAAGGUAGCCGUACCGGAAGGUGCGGCUGGAUCACCUCCUUUCU
rnacentral:rRNA from 1 species